UACGUAGGGGGCAAGCGUUAUCCGGAUUUACUGGGUGUAAAGGGAGCGUAGACGGCUUUGCAAGCCAGAUGUGAAAGCCCGGGGCUCAACCCCGGGACUGCAUUUGGAACUGUGUGGCUAGAGUGUCGGAGAGGCAGGCGGAAUUCCUAGUGUAGCGGUGAAAUGCGUAGAUAUUAGGAGGAACACCAGUGGCGAAGGCGGCCUGCUGGACGAUGACUGACGUUGAGGUUCGAAAGCGUGGGGAGCAAACAGG
rnacentral:rRNA from 1 species